rnacentral:rRNA from 1 species
UACGUAGGUGGCGAGCGUUGUCCGGAAUUACUGGGCGUAAAGCGCACGUAGGCGGUUUGAUAAGCCAGCCGUGAAAGCCCCGGGCUCAACCUGGGAAUUGCGGUUGGAACUGUCAAGCUAGAGUAUGGUAGAGGGGUGUGGAAUUCCAGGUGUAGCGGUGAAAUGCGUAGAUAUCUGGAGGAACAUCAGUGGCGAAGGCGACACCCUGGACCAAUACUGACGCUGAGGUGCGAAAGCGUGGGGAGCAAACAGG